rnacentral:lncRNA from 1 species
GGAGCUUGGUGUCUCUCUGGCUGAGGUACGGGAACUAAAGCUCUAAGGAGCUCUCCAGACAUCACAGUAGAAGACAGGAUCAGGCCUCCUGACUCCAUCCAGGGGCCCUUCUCAUCUGCUUAUCACCUCCUCCGACU